AAAGAAACUAAAUGAGAAACAGUUCAUCAUCUGUUGAUUGUAGGUGUUGCUAUGGUGAUGUCAAUUAUGUUGGCUCCUCCUCCUCUGAUCGUUCUCUUCAUGAUUCACGGAGUUUAUAGUGCUGAUGAUGGGUGGGGUGUGAAUUACAGCUCUUCAUCCAUCUGUGCACUAAAGGGUUCAACAGUGAUAAUAAACUGCACUUAUAAAUACCCUACUGGACAUCAGAUCAUGAAAGUGUUCUGGACCAAAGCUGUUGUUAGACAACAAAAAAAUUAUUUUACAGAUCUGUCUGAUGACUCUGAAUACAGUCAGAGGAUUCAGUAUCUGGGAGAUAAACAUCACGACUGCACCAUGAGACUGACUGAUGUGAGACAGACAGAUUCACACAAAUACUAUUUCAGAUUCAUCACUGAUAAACCUGAUGUGAAAUGGUUUGGUGUUCCUGGAGUGACUCUUAAUAUUACAGAUCUUCAGGUGGAGUCUUCAGGUGAGAGAGUGACAGAGGGACAUUCAGUGACUCUUACAUGUAAAAGCAGAUGCAGUCUGACUGACAGAUCAACAUUCAUCUGGUUUAAAAACACACAGUCAUUAAGUGAGAGAACAGACAGAAACAAUCAACUCAUCCUGCAGUCAGUAAGAAGAGAGGAUGCAGGCAACUAUAGCUGUGCUGUACAGGGACACAAACUCACAUCACCUCAUCAAUAUCUCAAUGUCAUCUAUGCUCCAGAUAAACCUGUAAUCUCUAUCAAUCCUUCUGGUGAAAUAAUGGAGGGUGAUUCAGUGACUCUGAUAUGCAGCAGUGAUGCAAAUCCACCUGUUCAGAUCUACACCUGGUUUAAGGAGAAUAAAACUGUUGCAUCUGGACAAACCUACAUCGUCUCAAAGAUCAGAUCAGAUCACAGUGGAGAAUACAAGUGCAAGUCAAGUAAUACACUUGGACAGAAAUAUUCAGCAGUGACAUUAAAUAUUUUAUAUCCUCCAAAGAACGUGACAGCAUCCAUCAGUGGAUCUGGUGAAAUAAUGGAGGGUGAUUCAGUGACUCUGAUAUGCAGCAGUGAUGCAAAUCCACCUGUUCAGAUCUACAGCUGGUUUAAGAACAAUAAAACUGUUGCACCUGGACAAACCUACAUCAUCUCAAAGAUUAGAUCAGAUCACAGUGGAGAAUACAAGUGCAAGUCAAGUAAUACACAUGGACAGAAAUAUUCAGCAGUGACAUUAAAUGUUUUAUAUCCUCCAAAGAAGGUGACAGCAUCCAUCAGUGGAUCUGUUGAAAUAAUGGAGGGUGAUUCAGUGAAUCUGACCUGCAGCAGUGAAUCAAAUCCACCUGUUCAGAUCUACAGCUGGUUUAAGGAGAAGGAAACAUCAUCAGUUGGAUCUGGACAGACGUACAGCAUCACUAACAUUAACUCCAGUCACAGUGGAUGGUUUUACUGUGAGGCUCAGAAUGAUGUCGGAUCUCAGAGAUCUGCUGCUGUAUCACUAAAUGUUAAAGGAGGAAAAUACUCAGUCCUGAAUGUGGUUGCUGGAGUCUUAGCUGUAUGUGGAGGUUUAAUUUUCAUUCUCGUCGUUGUGUUUGUGUGGUGAGUUUAUUCGGCCAUAAGAUAAAGAAAAGUUUCACAAACAAACCCUACUGAGAGUCUCCAGAAGCCCUGUCUUAUAUCUCAGAGCCUCUUAAAAUCUCAGGAUUUAUUACAAUAUACUUUUAAUCACAAAAACACCAACAUAACACAAACUCUUUUAAUACCAACACAAAAGAACACUAAACAUUAAUAUGUCGUCUCAUUAUUUCAUCUUGAUUACUGAAUAAGACGUUUAACCAAAAGUCAAGAGUACUAUGAAUGUGAUGUAAUUGGAGAAGGGUAUGUAAUGUAUAAUGUGUCUUGUGUUUGUGCGAAGUGUAUGUCAUUGUUUAAUGAAUGUUAAUUGUUGUAAACCUGGAUACUGUGAUGCAAGAAAAAUUUCAGACUUUGUCUGACAAUAAAGUACCAUAUCAUAUCAUAUCAUAUCAUUAAAAAUGCAUAAAAUCAAACUUGCUGAGAACUGAAAAUCUCCUGUAUAAAUGUGAAAAAAAAUGCAUUGAAUUAAAAUGUUUAAGAUAAGCGGAUGAGAAGCAAAAUGUAUUGAUGUAAUGAUGCAACUAUGUUUGAAACAGAAACUGCAUCAAUCGUGUUAAAUCAAAAUGCUUUGUUUAAGUAAAGUGAACAGCAUAACAGUUUUUUGAGUGUGGAAUUGAACCUCUCUGUCUCUGAUGUCCUUGAUGAAGGACGAGACCUAGAAACAGAAAGACCCCUCUCAACCAAUGAAGCGCAAACACAGACCUGAUGACAUCAGACAAAAUCAGGAUAAUAUGUAUUCAACUGUAACAAAGAGAGUCUCAGCUCCUGAAUGUAGACUUGCUGAGGAGAUCCAGUAUUCAACCGUCCAACACAUCAAAGACAU